UACGUAGGGCGCAAGCGUUGUCCGGACUUAUUGGGCGUAAAGAGCUCGUAGGCGGUUUGUCGCGUCUGUCGUGAAAGCUUGGGGCUUAACCCCAAGUCUGCGGUGGAUACGGGCAGACUAGAGGCAGGUAGGGGAGAACGGAAUUCCCGGUGUAGCGGUGAAAUGCGCAGAUAUCGGGAGGAACACCGGUGGCGAAGGCGGUUCUCUGGGCCUGUACUGACGCUGAGGAGCGAAAGCGUGGGGAGCGAACAGG
rnacentral:rRNA from 1 species